UGGGGAAUAUUGGACAAUGGGGGAAACCCUGAUCCAGCCAUGCCGCGUGAAUGAAGAAGGCCUUAGGGUUGUAAAAUUCUUUCAACGGUGAAGAUAAUGACGGUAACCGUAGAAGAAGCCCCGGCUAAUUUCGUGCCAGCAGCCGCGGUAAUACGAAAGGGGCUAGCGUUGUUCGGAAUUACUGGGCGUAAAGCGCGCGUAGGCGGCCUGCCAAGUUAGAGGUGAAAGCCCGGGGCUCAACCCCGGAACUGCCUUUAAAACUGGUAAGCUAGAGGAUGUGAGAGGUGAGUGGAAUUCCGAGUGUAGAGGUGAAAUUCGUAGAUAUUCGGAAGAACACCAGUGGCGAAGGCGACUCACUGGCACAUUUCUGACGCUGAGGUGCGAAAGCGUGGGGAGCGAACAGGAUUAGAUACCCCCGUAGUCC
rnacentral:rRNA from 1 species